rnacentral:rRNA from 1 species
UACGUAGGGUGCAAGCGUUAAUCGGAAUUACUGGGCGUAAAGCGUGCGCAGGCGGUUUUGUAAGUCUGACGUGAAAUCCCCGGGCUCAACCUGGGAAUUGCAUUCGAGACUGCGUAGCUAGGGUGCGGAAGAGGGAAGCGGAAUUUCCGGUGUAGCGGUGAAAUGCGUAGAUACCGGAAGGAACACCAGUGGCGAAAGCGGCUUCCUGGUCCAGCACCGACAUUCAGGCACGAAAGCGUGGGGAGCAAACAGG